rnacentral:rRNA from 1 species
GACAGAGGGUGCAAACGUUGUUCGGAAUUACUGGGCGUAAAGCGCGUGUAGGCGGCAGGGCAAGUCGGAUGUGAAAGCCCACGGCUCAACCGUGGAAGUGCACCCGAAACUGCCUCGCUAGAGUCUCGGAGAGGAAGGUGGAAUGCUUGGUGUAGAGGUGAAAUUCGUAGAUAUCAAGCGGAACACCGGUGGCGAAGGCGGCCUGCGGGACGAUGACUGACGCUGAGACGCGAAAGCGGGGGGAGCAAACAGG